rnacentral:sRNA from 1 species
GCAUCUGCAAAAUCAGGUGUCGGGGGUCGCAGCCCGUCAAGCUAAAAGGCGCAUACCACGCCAGACGUGGUUUUUUU